UAAAAUAGAUUGAGAGUUAAAAUAAAUGUUCAUGUUAAAAUGUUUGAUUUCUGUCAAUCUAUUGACGACAAGUUUUAUUUGGGUCAGGGGAGUGCAUUAUUAAAACGCUGUACACUGUGUACUCCGUACACUAAUGAUGCGCCACUAAUCUCCUUCCACUCAAAUUUAAAAAUGGAGUAUCUUGUCAACGGAUUAAGGGAAAUCAUACCUCAAAAGAUACGAAUUUGUCCAUCAAAGGUACAUUGUUUAAAAAGUUUUUUGAA